rnacentral:rRNA from 1 species
UACGGGGGGGGCAAGCGUUGUUCGGAAUUACUGGGCGUAAAGGGCGCGUAGGCGGCCUGCUAAGUCGGGUGUGAAAACUCUGGGCUCAACCCAGAGCCUGCAUUCGAUACUGACGGGCUAGAGUUCUGGAGGGGAAAGCGGAAUUCCUGGUGUAGCGGUGAAAUGCGUAGAUAUCAGGAGGAACACCGGUGGCGAAGGCGGCAUUCUGGACCGAAACUGACGCUGAGGCGCGAAAGCCAGGGGAGCAAACGGG